AUUUAGGCUUAGAAUUUAGUGUACCAGUUCAAUUAAGAAAUGUUAUAUUAGUUAUUUUAACAGAGAAAAUAUAAUAUAAAGAAUUGUUAACCAGCUGUUGGAGAUUUAAAACAUAAGAAGAAAUGAUACCUAGAUAUCAUGGAAACUGAGAGCUGAGAGAACAAAAGUCAGAGGUUGGAAUUAUCAAAAUCCAGGAGUGUAGAGGUAACCCAGUGGCUAGGGCUUGUCCCCUGAGGAGCACUUGCUGCUCAAGAUACAGAUGGCCCAGGAACUUGGAAGCUAGAUGCAGAACUCUGAGAAGCAGGUGCUGGUGUCUCUAAAAUGGCACGAUGGGCUAGUUAUGGGAUUUUUAAGGAAAAUGUCCAACUGGAUCACUGGUGCUGCUGAAGCACGCUGUGGCUCUCUGGGUAGAGAUGCUGCUAGAGGCAGGCAGGCAGGAUGCGGAAGAGGCACAUCCCCUUCCCCUCCUCCAGUCUCCAAAGCAGAGAGUAGAAGGGUGCGCUGGAAGCUGGGAAGUCCAGUGUACAACCAGCAAUCUUAGCUUUGCAGUUACUUAGUUUUAGAGUACUUUUGAAUUUAGUUUGUUUUGGAAUCGUUAGGGAUGGUUUGGUUUUAAGUUUUCCCUAGACAUGGGAUCUAGCUGAGUCUCCGGCCCCCUGAUUGUUUCUGGAAUGGAGUGAGCCAAUGAGAGCAGCCUCUCCUGUGAGUCUCAAGGAAACCACUUUAGAUAUCAAAAAAAAAAUAAUAAUAAUAAUGUGUCUCACUUUAUCAUAAGGAAGCCCUUUAGGUGGCCAAAAAAAGUAGACACUAAGGGUCAGACUGUAAGGGAGAGGCUCAUCCCUCUUUGGAACUUUUCAGAAAGUGAAACUAUGUUGUGGGUCCACCUUCUCCCACCCCCCUUUCCUAACAAUAAAGUAUCUUUCUUGAUAAUGUGUGUUUCAAUUUUGUAGACUAU
rnacentral:lncRNA from 1 species